rnacentral:tRNA from 3 species
GCGGAUGUAGCCAAGUGGAUCAAGGCAGUGGAUUGUGAAUCCACCAUGCGCGGGUUCAAUUCCCGUCG